GUGCCAGCAUGUCCUCCGGGAUGAUGGGGACACUGUUGGGACCGCCUCUGCUAAAGAGGAGGAAGGAAUGGGCAACGGUAGGUCAGCAUGCCCCGAAUUAUCCGGGCUACACGCGGGCUACAAUGGUCAGGACAAUGGGUAUCGACACCGAGAGGUGGAGGCAAUCUCCUAAACCUGUCCUUAGUUCGGAUUGUGGGCUGCAACUCGCCCACAUGAAGCUGGAAUCCGUAGUAAUCGCGUUUCAAAUAGCGCGGUGAGUAUGUCCCUGCUCCUU
rnacentral:rRNA from 1 species